CCUUAUCAAAAACAUCAUCUCUACUUCUCAAUGGUAGAGUAAGGUCUAGUAGAUUCUAUUCUCCCCAUAUAUUCUAUGGUUCCCAGAUCCCACUUAUGAAAUUACAUCAGGUAAGUUGUUCUUAGACUCAUUUAUACAACAACAAGAGACAGAGUUAAAUGGGAUACCAUCUGGUAUCUAUGGAAUUAUUUGAGGUGUGAAAGAGUAGUUUCUUUUUAUAAUUACAUCAAGUAAGUUGUUCUUAGACUCAUUUAUACAAGAAGAAGUUCUUAGACUCAUUUAUACAACAACAGUCUUCACAGACAGAGUUAAAUGGGAUACCAUCUGGUAUCUAUGGAAUUAUUUGAGGUGGGAAAGAGUAGUUUCUUUUGGGAUAAAAGAGGACCAACCAGUUGAUUAAGGUAUCAAAAAUUUGCAUUAAUCAUUUCAAUUAGUGGAUAAAUAACAAUUUCAGCUGAUCAGCUUAUUAAAUGUGAUAUUUUUUUUCAUAGUGACAUCAAUAUAUUUGGAAGUUAAUUCAAUGAAGUCUAUAUCAGGAAAAACAAAU
rnacentral:lncRNA from 1 species